UGAAUUCUGGAAGAGAAAAACUGUAU
rnacentral:piRNA from 1 species